CUACGGGAGGCAGCAGUAGGGAAUAUUGGACAAUGGACGAAAGUCUGAUCCAGCAAUGCCGCGUGAGUGACGAAGGAUUUCGGUCUGUAAAGCUCUUUUCUGAGGGAAGAAAUGACAUGUGAGGAAAUGCUCAUGUCUUGACGGUACCUCAGGAAUAAGGGACGGCUAACUCCGUGCCAGCAGCCGCGGUAAUACGGAGGUCCCAAGCGUUGUUCGGAAUUACUGGGCGUAAAGGGAGCGCAGGCGGACAGUUAAGUCUAAAGUGGAAUCCAGGGGCUCAACCUCUGAACUGCUUCGGAUACUGGCUGUCUUGAGUUCGUGAGAGGAAAGCGGAAUUCAGGGUGUAGCGGUGAAAUGCUUAGAUAUCCUGAGGAACACCAAUGGCGAAGGCAGCUUUCUGGCGCGAUACUGACGCUGAGGCUCGAAAGCGUGGGGAGCGAACGGGAUUAGAAACCCUAGUAGUCC
rnacentral:rRNA from 1 species